GGGACCUCCAGGCUUCCUCCACAGACUAGACUGAAGAACACGGGACAGCUGCCACUCAUCUCUCCCUCCCCCUGUUACAAGAAGAAAAUCACUCCAAGACGCUUCACAGUGCUCCUUGUCAAUGCUUUUCUCAACCUGAAGAAGCAGGAGGCUCUAUUCCAGUCUAUUCACAUCAGUGGGAAUGAAGAAGCAACAUUGGGCUUAGAACAGAAAUCUGAAAAUUGCGGACGGACAGCAGAUAGGAGCCACCUGUUUAAUUGUAUUCAAACUCGUCUGAACUGGUUUCUAAAGACCUUCAUCCUUCCCCUCCCCUCCAAGAAAAAGA